AUGAACGCUAGCGACAGGCCUAACACAUGCAAGUCGAGGGGCAUCAGGUAUCAGCUUGCUGAUACGCUGGCGACCGGCGCACGGGUGAGUAACGCGUAUGCAAUCUGCCUGUAACAGGGGGAUAACCCGGAGAAAUCCGGCCUAAUACCCCAUAAGGAUGUCUGUCCGCAUGGGCGGUCAUCUAAAGGUUUUCCGGUUACAGAUGGGCAUGCGUUCCAUUAGCUGGUUGGCGGGGUAACGGCCCACCAAGGCGACGAUGGAUAGGGGUUCUGAGAGGAAGGUCCCCCACACUGGUACUGAGACACGGACCAGACUCCUACGGGAGGCAGCAGUGAGGAAUAUUGGUCAAUGGGCGUAAGCCUGAACCAGCCAAGUCGCGUGAAGGAAGACAGCCCUACGGGUCGUAAACUUCUUUUGUAUGGGAGUAAAAGAGUCCACGCGUGGGCUAUUGCAAGUACCAUACGAAUAAGCAUCGGCUAACUCCGUGCCAGCAGCCGCGGUAAUACGGAGGAUGCGAGCGUUAUCCGGAUUUAUUGGGUUUAAAGGGUGCGUAGGCGGCCCUAUAAGUCAGCGGUGAAAUGUUCCGGCUCAACCGGGAAACUGCCGUUGAAACUGUAGAGCUAGAGUCCACAAGAGGUAUGCGGAAUGCGUGGUGUAGCGGUGAAAUGCAUAGAUAUCACGCAGAACCCCGAUUGCGAAGGCAGCAUACUGGGGUGAAACAGACGCUGAAGCACGAAAGCGUGGGUAUCGAACAGGAUUAGAUACCCUGGUAGUCCACGCCGUAAACGAUGAAUACUAACUGUUUGCGAUAUACAGUAAGCGGUACAGCGAAAGCGUUAAGUAUUCCACCUGGGGAGUACGCCGGCAACGGUGAAACUCAAAGGAAUUGACGGGGGCCCGCACAAGCAGUGGAGUAUGUGGUUUAAUUCGAAGCAACGCGAAGAACCUUACCAGGUCUUGACAUCCCGAUGCUAUUUCUAGAGAUAGAAAGUUACUUCGGUACAUCGGUGACAGGUGGUGCAUGGUUGUCGUCAGCUCGUGCCGUGAGGUGUCGGCUUAAGUGCCAUAACGAGCGCAACCCUUAUCGAUAGUUACUACCAGGUCAAGCUGAGGACUCAAUCGAGACUACCAGCGUAAGCUGCGAGGAAGGUGGGGAUGACGUCAAAUCAGCACGGCCCUUACGUCCGGGGCGACACACGUGUUACAAUGGCAGGGACAGCGAGUAGCCAGGCAGCAAUGCCGCGCCAAUCUCGAAACCCUGUCCCAGUUCGGAUCGGAGUCUGCAACCCGACUCCGUGAAGCUGGAUUCGCUAGUAAUCGCGCAUCAGCCAUGGCGCGGUGAAUACGUUCCCGGGCCUUGUACACACCGCCCGUCAAGCCAUGGGAGCCGGGAGUACCUGAAGUAUGCAACCGCGAGGAGCGUCCUAGGGUAAUACUGGUGACUGGGGCU
rnacentral:rRNA from 1 species